GUGCCAGCCGCCGCGGUAAUACGUAGGUGGCAAGCGUUGUCCGGAUUUAUUGGGCGUAAAGGGCGCGCAGGUGGUUACUUAAGUGUGAUGUGAAAGCCCACGGCUUAACUGGGGGGGGGCAUUGGAAACUGGGUGACUGGAGUGCAGAAGAGGAAAGUAGAAUUCCUAGUGUAGCGGUGAAAUGCGUAGAGAUUUGGAAGAAUACCAGUGGCGAAGGCGGCUUUCUGGUCUGCAACUGACGCUGAGGCGCGAAAGCAUGGGGAGCAAACAGGAUUAGAUACCCUGGUAGUCCAUGCCGUAAACGAUGAGUGCUAAGUGU
rnacentral:rRNA from 1 species